rnacentral:rRNA from 1 species
UACGGAGGGUGCGAGCGUUGUCCGGAAUCACUGGGCGUAAAGGGCGCGUAGGCGGCCUGAUAAGUAGGGGGUGAAAUCCUGCGGCUUAACCGCAGGGCUGCCUUCUAAACUGUCAGGCUCGAGCACAGUAGAGGCAGGUGGAAUUCCCGGUGUAGCGGUGGAAUGCGUAGAGAUCGGGAAGAACACCAAUGGCGAAAGCACUCUGCUGGGCCGAAACUGACACUGAGAGACGAAAGCUAGGGGAGCGAAUGGG